rnacentral:rRNA from 1 species
AUUGAACGCUGGCGGCAUGCCUUACACAUGCAAGUCGAACGGUAACAGGUCUUCGGAUGCUGACGAGUGGCGAACGGGUGAGUAAUACAUCGGAACGUGCCUAGUAGUGGGGGAUAACUACUCGAAAGAGUGGCUAAUACCGCAUGAGAUCUACGGGUGAAAGCAGGGGCUCGCAAGACCUUGUGCUACUAGACCGGCCGAUGGCAGAUUAGGUAGUUGGUGGGAUAAAAGCUUACCAAGCCGACGAUCUGUAGCUGGUCUGAGAGGACGAUCAGCCACACUGGGACUGAGACACGGCCCAGACUCCUACGGGAGGCAGCAGUGGGGAAUUUUGGACAAUGGGCGAAAGCCUGAUCCAGCAAUGCCGCGUGCAGGAUGAAGGCCUUCGGGUUGUAAACUGCUUUUGUACGGAACGAAAAGCCCCGGGUUAAUACCCUGGGGUCAUGACGGUACCGGGAGAAUAAGCUCCGGCUAACUCCGUGCCAGCCGCCGCGGUAA